GAUUGGCUGGUGGAGUCAACCUUGCAUAAGUGGUGUUUAGGCAGCAACUCAAGUUUCAGUGUAAAGCAUGAGUGCACGAGUAAGGUCUAGACCCAGAGGAUCUAGAGGAAGAGAAGAUGGUCAAAAGUCUCCCAGCCUGGUUGAACCAGUGGCAGCCCAGAAGCCCAGUGAAGAACAAUCUCAACAAGAGAAACCACCAAAUGAAACUCAGGUUAUUAAACCUGGAGAAGAAGAAGAAG